rnacentral:rRNA from 1 species
UACGGAGGAUCCGAGCGUUAUCCGGAUUUAUUGGGUUUAAAGGGUGCGCAGGCGGGGGAUUAAGUCGGCGGUGAAAUUUUGCAGCUUAACUGUAAAAGUGCCAUCGAUACUGGUUUCCUUGAGUGUAGAUGAAGUAGGCGGAAUUUGUGGUGUAGCGGUGAAAUGCAUAGAUAUCACGAGGAACUCCGAUUGCGCAGGCAGCUUACUAAACUACUACUGACGCUCAGGCACGAAGGCGUGGGGAUCAAACAGGAUUAGAUACCCUGGUA